UACGAGGGGGGCAAAUGUUGUUCGGAAUCACUGGGCGUAAAGGGCGCGUAGGCGGGCUUCUAAGUUAGGUGUUUAAUCCCGGGGCCCAACCCCGGUCGUGCACCUAAAACUGGGAGUCUUGAAUAGUGGAGAGGUCAGUGGAAUUGGGGGUGUAGCGGUGGAAUGCGUAGAGAUCCCCAAGAACACCAGUUGCGAAGGCGGCUGACUGGACACAUAUUGACGCUGAGGCUCGAAAGCAUGGGGAGCAAACAGG
rnacentral:rRNA from 1 species